GUGGGGAAUCUUGCGCAAUGGGCGAAAGCCUGACGCAGCCAUGCCGCGUGAAUGAUGAAGGUCUUAGGAUUGUAAAAUUCUUUCACCGGGGACGAUAAUGACGGUACCCGGAGAAGAAGCCCCGGCUAACUUCGUGCCAGCAGCCGCGGUAAUACGAAGGGGGCUAGCGUUGCUCGGAAUUACUGGGCGUAAAGGGUGCGUAGGCGGACAGUUUAGUCAGAGGCGAAAGCCCAGGGCUCAACCUUGGAAUUGCCUUUGAUACUGGCUGUCUUGAGUACGGGAGAGGUGAGUGGGACUCCGAGUGUAGAGGUGAAAUUCGUAGAUAUUCGGAAGAACACCAGUGGCGAAGGCGACUCACUGGCCCGUUACUGACGCUGAGGCGCGAAAGCGUGGGGAGCAAACAGGAUUAGAUACCCUGGUAGUCC
rnacentral:rRNA from 1 species